UACGAAGGGAGCUAGCGUUGUUCGGAAUUACUGGGCGUAAAGCGCACGUAGGCGGAUUUUUAAGUCAGGGGUGAAAUCCCAAGGCUCAACCUUGGAACUGCCUUUGAUACUGGAAGUCUCGAGAUCGGGAGAGGUGAGUGGAAUUCCUAGUGUAGAGGUGAAAUUCGUAGAUAUUAGGAAGAACACCAGUGGCGAAGGCGGCUCACUGGCCCGAUACUGACGCUGAGGUGCGAAAGCGUGGGGAGCAAACAGG
rnacentral:rRNA from 1 species